AUCAGGGGAUGCAAAGCAAAGGUGGCAGGAGACCUGCAUGGAUGAGCAUGGAGCUCCUCACUAAAUUUAAACAUAAAAAGGAA